rnacentral:rRNA from 1 species
CAGCAGUCGCCGCGGGAAUACGAAGGGUGCAAGCGUUACUCGGAAUUACUGGGCGUAAAGCGUGCGUAGGUGGUGGUUUAAGUCCGUUGUGAAAGCCCUGGGCUCAACCUGGGAAUUGCAGUGGAUACUGGGUCACUAGAGUGUGGUAGAGGAUAGUGGAAUUUCCGGUGUAGCAGUGAAAUGCGUAGAGAUCGGAAGGAACAUCUGUGGCGAAGGCGACUAUCUGGGCCAACACUGACACUGAGGCACGAAAGCGUGGGGAGCAAACAGGAUUAGAUACCCCUGUAGUCCCUGUCUCUUAUAC